CGCCUGGUGGCUUAAAGGAGUAGGGCGCUGGCCUUAUAUGCCAGAGGUGGCGGGUUCAAGUCCAGCCCCGGCCA
rfam:Otolemur garnettii contig128968, whole genome shotgun sequence.